GGGCGCUUAGCUGGGUUGUAGAGCGUCUGCCUUACAAGCAGAAUGUCGGCGGUUCGAUCCCGUCAGCGCCCACCA
rnacentral:tRNA from 1 species